CUGCUGAGGAGCGAUAAAAUGUACGUGGCCGUCAAUGCCGGCUGCGGUCAGUAUGAGGUGCUCACCUGAAAUAGCAUCGGUAGAAGGGCCUGUGCACAGUGUCGGGGUCACACCUUCCAUGACAUUGGGGUUACCGGCCUUGCCUAUACCUGCUAUCUUGCCAUCCUUGACACCGACGUCGGCUUUGACUACGCCUAUGAUAGGGUCGAUAAUGGUGACAUUGGUUAUGACGAGAUCAAGCGAACCGCCAUCGCUGGUGAUGGUAUUGGCUGUGCCCAUGCCGUCACG
rnacentral:sRNA from 1 species